UACGUAGGUGGCAAGCGUUGUCCGGAAUUAUUGGGCGUAAAGCGCGCGCAGGCGGUCCUUUAAGUCUGAUGUGAAAGCCCUCGGCUCAACCGAGGAAGGUCAUUGGAAACUGGAGGACUUGAGUGCAGAAGAGGAAAGUGGAAUUCCAAGUGUAGCGGUGAAAUGCGUAGAGAUUUGGAGGAACACCAGUGGCGAAGGCGGCCCUCUGGACGGUGACUGACGCUGAGACGCGAAAGCGUGGGGAGCAAACAGG
rnacentral:rRNA from 1 species